rnacentral:rRNA from 1 species
GGUUAAGUCCGCAACGAGCGCAACCCUUGUCAUUAGUUGCUACAUUCAGUUGGGCACUCUAAUGAGACUGCCGGUGACAAGCCGGAGGAAGGUGGGGAUGACGUCAAGUCCUCAUGGCCCUUAUAGGUGGGGCUACACACGUCAUACAAUGGCUGGUACAAAGGGUUGCCAACCCGCGAGGGGGAGCUAAUCCCAUAAAGCCAGUCGUAGUCCGGAUCGUAGUCUGCAACUCGACUACGUGAAGUCGGAAUCGCUAGUAAUCGUGGAUCAGAAUGUCACGGUGAAUACGUUCCCGGGUCUU